AUGUUGCCUGAGAAGUGUGGUCUCGAAGAUAGCACAUUUGUGACAGUAGAAGAAAACAUUGCUAUGUUCUUACAAUUUGUUGGACAUGGACUUAAAAUGAGGAUGUUGGGUGGCACGUACCAGCGUUCUUUAGGGACUAUCAGUAGGCAUUUCUCUACUAUGUUAUCAGCCAUCCUCUCUCUAACUAGGGAGUUUAUAGAGCUUCCCGAUCAUUCUAUCACCCCUCCCGAUGAUUACAAGUGGAAGUGGUUUCCUAAUGCACUUGGAGCACUAGAUGGGUGUCAUAUUCCGGUGUUUGUUAAUGCUACGAACAAAUGGACUUAUAGGAAUAGGUACCAAGAUAUCAGCACUAACAUGUUAGGUGUGAUUGAUUGGAACAUGAAAUUUCUCUAUGUUCUACUUGAUUGGGAGGGUUCAGCAUCGGACUCGAGAGUGCUAAAAUAUGUUAUGAGAAUCGAUUACGAAGAUGCAUUUGUUGUACCAUAG
rnacentral:rRNA from 1 species